GCACCUGCCAGCUCAAAUAGCAGAGCAUGAGACUCCUAAUCUCAGGGUUGUGGGUUUGAGCCCCACGCUGGGCA